rnacentral:ncRNA from 1 species
AAAAUAUCUUGUUUUACCAACAAAGAUGGUAAGUACCUUUCUAUCCUUAAUAAAAAAAAAUUCAUAUUAAAAUAUUGGGAAUAAAACAUGAUUGCGUCAACUCUUGUCGCAAGUAUUGAGUUAAGUCUCACAACGAAUGCAACCUUCGUAUUUAGUUGUCAUUAUUGAGUUUGGAACCCUUAUAAACUAUUGGUGAUAAACUGGAUGAAGAUGCCAUCAAGUCAUAAUGUCCUAGCCGACACACGUGCUACAAUGACUUGGACAAAAUGAUCGUGAUCUCACGAGGGUGAACUAACCCCGAAAACCUAUACUUAGUUCGAAUUGUAAGUUGCAACUCGCUUGCACGAAGUCAGA